GUGAGGAAUAUUGGUCAAUGGGCGGGAGCCUGAACCAGCCAAGUCGCGUGAAGGAAGAAGGAUCUAUGGUUCGUAAACUUCUUUUGCAGGGGAAUAAAGUGCAGGACGUGUCCUGUUUUGUAUGUACCCUGAGAAUAAGGAUCGGCUAACUCCGUGCCAGCAGCCGCGGUAAUACGGAGGAUCCGAGCGUUAUCCGGAUUUAUUGGGUUUAAAGGGUGCGUAGGUGGUUUGAUAAGUCAGCGGUGAAAGUUUGCAGCUUAACUGUAAAAAUGCCGUUGAAACUGUCGGACUUGAGUGUAGAUGAGGUAGGCGGAAUGCGUGGUGUAGCGGUGAAAUGCAUAGAGAUCACGCAGAACUCCGAUUGCGAAGGCAGCUUACUAAGCUACAACUGACACUGAAGCACGAAAGCGUGGGGAUCAAACAGGAUUAGAUACCCGGGUAGUCC
rnacentral:rRNA from 1 species